AUGAACGCUGGCGGCGUGCCUAAUACCUGCAAGUCGAGCGAGCAGACGAGGAGCUUGCUCCUCUGACGUUAGCGGCGGACGGGUGAGUAACACGUGGAUAACCUACCUAUAAGACUGGGAUAACUUCGGGAAACCGGAGCUAAUACCGGAUAAUAUAUUGAACCGCAUGGUUCAAUAGUGAAAGACGGUUUUGCUGUCACUUAUAGAUGGAUCCGCGCCGCAUUAGCUAGUUGGUAAGGUAACGGCUUACCAAGGCAACGAUGCGUAGCCGACCUGAGAGGGUGAUCGGCCACACUGGAACUGAGACACGGUCCAGACUCCUACGGGAGGCAGCAGUAGGGAAUCUUCCGCAAUGGGCGAAAGCCUGACGGAGCAACGCCGCGUGAGUGAUGAAGGUCUUCGGAUCGUAAAACUCUGUUAUUAGGGAAGAACAAAUGUGUAAGUAACUAUGCACGUCUUGACGGUACCUAAUCAGAAAGCCACGGCUAACUACGUG
rnacentral:rRNA from 1 species